rnacentral:rRNA from 1 species
CCUACGGGAGGCAGCAGCGGGGAAUAUUGCACAAUGGGCGAAAGCCUGAUGCAGCAACGCCGCGUGAGGGAUGAAGGCUCUCGGGUUGUAAACCUCUUUCAGCAGGGACGAAUUUGACGGUACCUGCAGAAGAAGCCCCGGCCAACUACGUGCCAGCAGCCGCGGUAACACGUAGGGGGCGAGCGUUGUCCGGAUUUAUUGGGCGUAAAGAGCUCGUAGGCGGUUCGGUAAGUCGGGUGUGAAAACUCUGGGCUCAACUCAGAGACGCCACCCGAUACUGCUGUGACUUGAGUCUGGUAGGGGAGUGUGGAAUUCCCGGUGUAGCGGUGAAAUGCGCAGAUAUCGGGAGGAACACCAGUGGCGAAGGCGGCACUCUGGGCCAGAACUGACGCUGAGGAGCGAAAGCGUGGGUAGCGAACAGGAUUAGAUACCCUUGUAGU